GAUGAACGCUGGCGGCGUGCCUAAUACAUGCAAGUCGAGCGAACGGACGAGAAGCUUGCUUCUCUGAUGUUAGCGGCGGACGGGUGAGUAACACGUGGAUAACCUACCUAUAUGACUGGGAUAACUUCGGGAAACCGGAGCUAAUACCGGAUAAUCUUUUGAACCGCAUGGUUCAAAAGUGAAAGACGGUCUUGCUGUCACUUAUAGAUGGAUCCGCGCUGCAUUAGCUAGUUGGUAAGGUAACGGCUUACCAAGGCAACGAUGGAUAGCCGACCUGAGAGGGUGAGCGGCCACACGGGAACUGAGACACGGCCAAGACUCCUACGGGAGGCAGCAGUAGGGAACCUUCCGCAAUGGGCGAAAGCCUGACGGAGCAAGGCCGCGGGAGUGAUGAAGGUCUUCGGAUCGUAAAACUCUGUUAUUGGGGAAGAACAUAUGUGUAAGUAACUGUGCACAUCUUGACGGUACCUAAUCAGAAAGCCACGGCUAACUACGUG
rnacentral:rRNA from 1 species